AACACCUUUACGUCUUUGACCUCGAGACCCGGACUUGGUCCAUUGCUCCAGCCACCGGAGACGUUCCACACCUCUCUUGCUUAGGUGUCCGUAUGGUGUCAGUAGGAUCGACCCUCUAUACCUUUGGAGGCCGAGACUUUUCACGCCAAUACAACGGUUUCUACUCGUUUGACACGACAACAAACGAGUGGAAACUGCUAACUCCGGUGGAAGAAGGACCCACUCCUCGUAGUUUCCAUUCGAUGGCAGCGGAUGAGGAAAACGUUUACGUUUUCGGUGGAGUGGGUGCUAUGGAUCGAAUCAAGACACUAGACUCUUACAAUAUCGUUGACAAGACGUGGUUUCAUUGUUCGAAUCCAGGAGAUUCCUUUAGCAUAAGAGGAGGAGCAGGGCUCGAAGUGGUGCAAGGGAAAGUAUGGAUUGUGUAUGGAUUUAACGGAUGUGAAGUAGAUGAUGUUCAUUUCUACGAUCCUGCUGAAGACAAAUGGACACAAGUGGAAACAUUCGGUGUGAAGCCUAACGAAAGGAGUGUUUUCGCUAGUGCGGCUAUUGGGAAACACAUUGUGAUAUUUGGAGGUGAGAUUGCGAUGGAUCCACGAGCUCACGUAGGUCCGGGUCAAUUAAUCGAUGGGACUUUCGCGUUGGAUACAGAGACGUUGCAAUGGGAGAGGUUAGAUAAGUUUGAGGGGACUCCGAGUAGCAGAGGAUGGACCGCGUCCACGACUGGAACCAUUGAUGGUAAGAAAGGACUUGUGAUGCAUGGUGGUAAAGCUCCAACCAAUGACCGGUUUGAUGACCUCUUCUUUUACGGAAUUGACUCUGUCUGAUUAAGCGCGAUUUGAUCAUGACCGUUUGUGUUUUAUUUGUUUGUGUGUCUGUGUGUCUGUGUGAUGCAAUAAGGGAGGGAUCGUGAUACCUCUAUAUGAUCCUUCGUCAGCUUAUCCAUUUUAUUUUUUAUUUUCUAAAUGUAUCUUUUUGUUUUUUGUUUUCUGUUUUGUAUGUUUAAUGUUUCGUGGCUUGUUCAAUAAGAUGUUUAUUUUCCGAAUUUUUUUUGGGUAUGUUACGUUAUACUACAAACAAAAAUAUUAUGAUUUUGAUUUUCUCUAAAGAUGAAAUGAAUAGAACAAGAAGUCAGCAGAUAGGGUGGUUUCAUCUACUUUUGUGGUUGGUAAAUGUGGUUAGAAAAAUUUGCAUUGAAUUGUAAGUUUCUAUCCAUAAAAGAAACAAAAAAUUAAUGUAAUCAAGAGUGGAAAGUUACCAAUGGAUUAUAAAAAUCUUGCAAUUCUAAUAAAUCCUCAUGUCAACGGUACAGAUAAGAUAAGGGUAAGGGGCAAACAAUCUUGUUGGUUCAAAUGGCAAGUAAACAAGGGCAAUUAUAUCCACCUAAUCCAUUGCGUUUUCUUUCUCUAAUCUUAGAAUCUACUUUAAUUGUAUGUUUUUCUCUUUCAUCUACUUUCCAAAACUAUAUAACCUCAUUUCUAUACUUUUUAUGCAUUUAUUUUGAAACCCCUUUAUCAAAAAAAAAAAAGGGGCCAAUUUUUCUUCAAAAAUGGUUACUUUAAGAUUCUCAUAUACAGUGUGCCAAAAAAAAAAAAGGUACCUAAAAUAUUUAUUAUUUCAGAUAUUGGUCAACAUAUUAUCUGUAACAGAAAAAUGUUCACGUGAUAUUUGCGAAUCACAUUUUUCUAGGGGCAAAAGUGAUAUAUGAGAAUCUUAAAGUAACCUUUUCUAGAAUAAUUGCCCUUGUUUACUUGCCACUGUAGUCAUUUAUUUAAUUUAUGUUCAAAAACAGAUUACCUACCUAAUUCACCGAAACGAAAAAUUUUGUUGCCAGUUUUUGUUUUUUUUAAUUUUUUUUUUCCUCUUUUUAGUUUACCUUCUCUUUUUUCUGUUCAACAUUAAACUAGAAGGUAGAGUAAUAAAUAACGAUGGAUGGAUGUGUUGAAAACGCGCUUUAUGCAUGAUUCAUACGAGAGCAGCUGAGGAGGAGACAAAAAACGGGUCUACACUAUAUCAGACUUUUUUUUGUUUUUUUGGUGUAAAACUAUAUCAGAUGGAAAAAUAUCAACCAAAUAAUGUAGAAACUAUAUCAAACUUUUAACAAAACUAUCAACCCAAUAUUUUAUAUUUUAUUAAAAAACAAUACUAAUAAUUUUUCCUUUUCCUCGUUUUUUUUUUUCUGAUCAACCAUUCACACGUUGUUUUUCGUAAUUAUGAUUCUGCAUAAUGCUUUCUCUAAAUCAAAAACUCCACGCCACGGUUCAACUGAUGUAGUGCCUCCACCGUUGUCGUUUGACUCGUUGCAGAGGACACCAUUAUGCACUUCGAUUCAUUUUCAAAAUCGUCUUUCUCUACUGAAUUGUUACUCCAUUUAAUUUUUUGGUCCAUAGAUAACAUAGACCAUUAUACUAGUAUGUUAAAUGUAUACUUAUCAGUUACCGCACAACAUUAAUUCUUAAAGAGGGUUCAUUUUCGAGAAUUGAGUACAACACUACCAUUAGGCCAAAAUGCGAGAGGCAAAAAAAGAUAUAGCAUAUACUUAUCAUGAAUAAUGAAAAUCUUUUCCAUCCAAAUAAAAAUCUUUCUUCUCAUAAAAGAAAGAAGAGAAAAAACAAUGAGUUUGCAUAUCUUUAUCCUGUAGAAUGAUAAUCUUCCCCAUCAACUACUGUAGAUCGUCAACGUGUACUCACUUCCAUUAUCGAUCGAAUCAUCAAUUUAAUGCCUCGUGAAUCACGAGAUCAUAUAAUAUGACAAGAAAUUCGUCCCGUUUAUCUACUGCUGGUCAAUAAAUACUCAUGCAAUUCCCACCAAUAGAUCACUCAACCAAUUUCUUCUCAGGUUCUCUCUUCACACCUCUCCCCUUCUCUAUGAUUAUAGAUAGUAUAUGAUUUGGUUAAAUUAUCUAUAUUUCUUUUUUGAUAAAGGAUUUGGUUAAAUUUUUAAUUGCAGGUAAUACUCGUAAGAUUUAUCAACACAAGCAAAAAAGAUGGCCCAAAAGCUAGAAGCAAAGGGUGGUGAGAUGGGAGAUGUAUGGGAUGAUGGUGUUUACGAAAAUGUUAGAAAGGUAUAUGUAGGGCAAGCACAAUACGGUAUAGCCUUCGUCAAGUUUGAGUAUGUCAAUGGUUCUCAAGUGGUUGUUGGAGAUGAACAUGGAAAGAAGACAGAGCUAGGAGUUGAAGAGGUACUAAAAUAGAUUUUUUUUUUUUUUUUUUUUUUUUUUUUUUUUUAGUCAAAAGGUACUAAAAUAGAUUUAUAUGUUGUGAUUGAUCAAGAGGUAGGGUCUUUUUUUUUUUUGUUGCUUUCCGCAUUGAAAAUUGCUUGGUUUCUUUGCAGUUUGAGAUUGAUGCGGAUGACUACAUCGUAUACGUGGAAGGUUACCGUGAGAAAGUUAACGAUAUGACGUCAGAAAUGAUCACGUUUCUUUCUAUUAAGACUUUUAAAGGCAAAACCUCUCAUCCUAUCGAAAAAAGACCUGGGGUUAAGUUUGUGCUACAUGGUGGAAAAAUCGUUGGGUUUCACGGACGUUCAACAGAUGUUUUACACUCCCUUGGGGCCUAUGUUUCUUUGUCAUCCACUAUCAAAUUGCUUGGGAAGUGGAUUAAGGUAAUAAUCUCUUAGACCAAUCCAAAAACAAAAAUAAAAAAUUAUCUCACAUAAAUAUGUUGUUAUUGUUACCACCGCAAAAUCACUAAAUCACUUACGAGAAAGAAAAAAUGAAGAAGAAAAGAGGGUUGAAUUUGGAAUUCAGAUAAUGACACUUUUAAAAUUUAUAAUUUUAUUAAAUUUAUCUUAUGGGAGUUCAUUAAUCAGAUAAAUAAUUUCUUUAAAAAUAACUAAAAAAUAUUACUCAUAGGUGGAGCAAAAAGGAGAAGGUCCAGGGCUAAGAUGCUCACAUGGCAUAGCACAAGUAGGCAACAAGAUUUACUCCUUUGGUGGCGAGUUCACACCAAAUCAGCCCAUCGACAAACACCUUUACGUCUUUGACCUCGAGACCCGGACUUGGUCCAUUUCUCCAGCCACCGGAGACGUUCCACACCUCUCUUGUUUAGGUGUCCGGAUGGUGUCAGUAGGAUCGACCCUCUAUGUCUUUGGAGGCCGAGACGCUUCACGCCAAUACAACGGUUUCUACUCGUUUGACACGACCACUAACGAGUGGAAACUGCUAACUCCGGUCGAAGAAGGACCCACUCCUCGUAGUUUCCACUCAAUGGCAGCCGAUGAGGAAAACGUUUACGUUUUCGGUGGAGUGAGUGCUACGGCACGACUCAAUACACUAGACUCUUACAACAUCGUUGAUAAGAAGUGGUUUCAUUGUUCGACUCCAGGAGAUUCCCUUACCGCAAGAGGAGGAGCAGGGCUCGAAGUGGUGCAAGGGAAGGUAUGGGUUGUGUAUGGGUUUAACGGAUGUGAAGUAGAUGAUGUUCAUUACUACGAUCCUGUUCAAGACAAGUGGACACAAGUGGAAACAUUCGGUGUGAGGCCUUCCGAAAGAAGUGUAUUCGCUAGUGCGGCUAUUGGGAAACACAUUGUGAUUUUUGGAGGUGAAAUUGCGAUGGACCCGCUAGCUCACGUGGGUCCAGGUCAAUUGACCGAUGGAACUUUUGCAUUGGACACAGAGACGUUGCAAUGGGAGAGGCUGGAUAAGUUUGGUGGAGAGGAAGAGACUCCGAGUAGCAGAGGAUGGACCGCGUCCACGACUGCUACCAUUGAUGGUAAGAAAGGACUUGUGAUGCAUGGUGGUAAAGCUCCAACCAAUGACCGGUUUGAUGAUCUCUUCUUUUACGGGAUUGACUCUGCCUAAUUAAGGCAGAUUUGGUGAUCAUGAACGUUUGUGAAUGUGUGUGUGUGUGUGUGGGUCUGUGUUUGUGUGUGUAAUAAGGGAGGGGUAUACCACCAUAUGAUCCUUCCCCAGCUUGACCAUUGUUUUUUUUUUAAUAUGUUUUUCUUUCUACAUGUUUGUUUCACGUUUCAUGUUGUAUCCAAUAAAUUGUGUACUUUCCUAGUAGUAAUCGCCAGAAAAAAAAAAAAAAAAAAAAAACCUAGUAGGUAGAGUCAUAGCUUACAAUUAAAUAAAUAACGAUGGAUGUGUUGAAAACGCGUUUAUGCAUGAUUCAUGAAUUGUAUAUACGAGAGCAGCCGAGGAGGAGAUAAAGAGAGGGGUCUACAAUGAUCAAUACUAACUUAAUUUUGUAGUGUUGUCAGUCAAUAAUGUAUACCUAUCAAAAUGGGGCCUAUAUUCCAUCACUAGUGAGUUCGUCAGUCAAUAAUGUAUUUUCCGACACUUAAAAAACGUUCCAAAUCAUAAUACUUAUAAUUAUAACCAGAUAAGUUUUACUGAAUCCCAGACUAAUUCUCAAACUUUGCUAUCAUGUUAUUAACAAACAUUACAAUGUAGAGAAAUAUGGAUGCCCUAGUUUCAACUAACACGAUGAAUCAUGUCAAUCACUGUAUAAAUAGUUAAUAAGUUGUGACUUUUUUUUUUGUCGGCUAAUAAGUUGUGACUUUAGGCACCGUCAAUAUUCAACUGUAAUUAUAAUCGUAUAUAAUAAGUGAUUAUAUCUGUCAAAUAUCAUAUAUAACAAAUAAUAUAAUUGUAUGUAUAUAUAUUAUCUCUAUCAACUAUAAUCAUAUACAGAAAGAAAAAAAACAAGUGUUACAUCACGCUUAGCUUAAAAGUUUCGACUUUUUGCACCGUCAUAUUUCACGUGUAAGCAAGAAAUACAAAUGUAAAUAGAUUAUAAUUAAUGAAUUCUCUCGACUCUCUCAACAUAGUAUAUAAAAGGAAAUCUACACAUGAACCGUAUCUUUCUCACUUUUGAAAUAUUUUGAUGUUUUAAAGAAAUUUUUUCAAAAUUUUAUAUAAAUUAUAAAUUAAUUUAAUAUUUUUUGAUUAUUUAUAUUUUUCAUCAGUCUUGUUCAUAAUUGGUUGAAUUGUUUUAAAGUAAAUAUUUCUUUAGCUAAAACAUCUUAUACAAUUAAAAGAAAAAAGUGUAAUCAAAUAACCAAAUAUAAAUUAGUAUUUCAAAUUAUACUUAUUGCAGGGUGAUAAACCUUUUGUCCCAAGUGAAGUUAAACCUAUAAAUAUAUACCCCAUUUAGAGGGUCCUAUAUAACUAAAGUACCACAUAUUUGGUGGUUUAUAUCAUUCAAUUUUUUUGUAACUAACUUAAUAUUUGAUAUGUAAAAUCAUGUUAAAAUAGGAUCAGCAGAUAGAAUAUAUAAAAAAUAAGUCAUGUACAAACGUAACGUUCUUCAUAUCUUAGGUAACGUAUCUAACAAUUUUGUUAAAUAUUAUUAUUUUAAAAAAUUGAACAUAUUAUUUGGAAACUUUUCUUUUGAUAAUUUUGAAAUGGCACUUUGUAAUUAAGAGUUUAAUAAAGAACACGUCACACACAAAAACGAAGAAAGAGAUUAUAGAAAUUAAGUUGUGUUUUCAAUCUUCGUGUAUACAAAACAAAAAUAAAAAUUAGAAAUGAUAUUUCAUACGAUGUUGUUAAAUAAUAUAAUUAUGAAAAUUAGUUGUGCUUUAUAUUAUUAUUUUUGUUGGAAGCUCUAGAAACGAUCGACCUAAUAGUAUAUUUUUGUCACUAAAAAGUGUGAUUAAAAUAUAUAUAUAUAUAUAUAUAUAUAUAUAUAUAUAUAUAAUAUUGUAAUUUUCAACCAAUUCUCGGUUUAGGUGGUUUAUUAUUAUAUUGUUUUUUGAAAAAAUUAAAAAAUAUAUCCUUAUUAGUUCAUUCUUUUCUGGUCAUUCGUUCACACUUUACAACUUGGUUAAUGGCCACUUCUCAAGUUAUCGUUCUUUCAUUUGUUCUACAGUCGCAAGAAAUUAUCGUUCUUUCAUUUGUCAUUAUGCAUAAUGAUUUCUCUUUUCUUUUUAGUGCAUAAUGAUCUCACUACAUAAAAAAAUCUAUCUUACGAUUCAACUAUAUUUAGUCCCAUGCACUCGCUGCAUAACACAUUACUUUCUUCGAUUUAGAGUGAUUUUCACAACCUUGUUUCUGUAUUGUAUAUUUAGUUAGUGUUUGUGAUUACCAAAAAAAAAAAUUGUUUCUUCUUGGCUUAGUCUUUUUAUCUUUUUUUUUUUUUUUGCUUCAUCUAUUUUUCCUCCCAUGACAGAUGAAGACGGCAAGAGAUGCAGCAAAUCUCAUUUAUGAUCUAUCUGAAGAAUCAGCGUCAUCGAUUUGGAGACUCGAACCAUAACAAAAAGAGCAUCACAGUUUCAAUUUAAUUGCUCCUGGCGCUUCCUAUUUCAGCAACAAACAUUAAAUAAUUAAUCCAAUAGAGAUGAUAUAUAUGGAAAUUUCAAAACCAAAAAAAGAAACUUUCAAAACCAAAAUUGCGAAGCCAUAGAAAUCGUGGAUCAUGGAAUUGCGAAGACCAAUGUUGACAUAUGGGAAUUUGGUGUCCCAAUGAGCAGAGAUCACUAAGAUUGGUUUUCGGGAGGAACUUUUUGAGUUCAUGAUUUGAAGAAUUGUCUCGCCUAUAAGCUAUCGUCCAUAGUUUGAGAUUCAUGCGACAAGAAGAAGGUUUGAUUCACUUUCUCCAUUUAAUUGAAUCAUCUUCAUAGAUAUAUUUUCAUACUUAAUCAAUGUUUUUACCAAAAAAAUAAUGUUAUUUUAUUAUUUUGGUUUUAUGUGGUUUGGGAUUGGUGUAGAUUAUAAACCGAUUAAACCAAUGUUUUUGUGUUCUGAGAUUUCAAACUUUUGAACUAAAUAAAUAUACGUUUUGGGGAAUAUCCAAUAUCAAUAUGUAUCAUAGUUUGGACUCUAUCUAUUCCAGUAUGAUAAUUCCCGUGGAAAAAUAUAUCAUCGUCUCUAUUUUAUACAUGCACUUGCAACACAAACCAGCCAUAAAGUGGGUCUAUUCUUAUAAUUUAUGACAACAUGGAACACUAUCAUUGGGCCACGAUGCAAGGAGCGAAGGACGAUGCGAGAAGGUGCUUUACUGAUUUGAUGAACGUGGAGGUGAUUCUGAAUGAUACGAGAUCUCUAAGCUGAAUAUAUAAUAGUAUAGUUUUUCGUAAUUUUUUUUUGUUAAAUUUUUUAUCGCUGCUAAAGAUUAAAUGGCGAGUAAAACUAUACUAUUAUACUUUCAAAGAUCACCCGAGAAAAUGAUGACUGCACAUACUUUCAAUAUCCCAUAGAUGACAUAUCUGUUUUAUUUCCAUCAAGCUAUUCAUCGAAACAAAAGCACAUGACGAUUAUGGGAGAGAAACACUACUCUAAAAUCCCGUAAUAAGCUGCACCACCUAAUUUUUUGUGCCUUGACCAAAAAAAAUUCAAUGUUGCAGUUCAACGAACCUUCUUACGGAGGAUCUUUAAACAAAAUUUAUUUGGUACAUAGAGAAAAAUAUUUUAAUAUAUACUAAUUUAAUGCCUCGCGAUCAACGAGUAGAGAAAAAAUAUGUCGCGUGUAUCUUCUUCCAUUGGUCAAUAAAUACCAAUGCAAUGUUUACUACACAAAUCAUUACUUCAGUCUCACUCUCAGGUCAGCUCUCUCCACAUCUCUCUCAUAUGAUUGUACUAUGUAUAAGAUUUGGUAAUAUUUGUAAUUACAAGUAAAAUUCGUAAAUACAGAUAAUAUUCGUAAGAGGUUGAUCAAACGAAAGCAAAAGAGAUGGCCCAAAAGGUUGAAGCACAAGGAGGAAAUGGCGGUAACCAAUGGGAUGAUGGAUCCGAAUACGACGCUGUGACCAAGAUUCAAGUCGCAGCAGGCGGGAACGGAAUUGAAUAUGUUAAGUUCACAUACGUCAAGAACGGACAAACCGAAGAAGCCCCUCUACGCGGUGUCAAGGGCCGUAGUUUCGAAGCAGAUCCGGUUCCUAUACACUAUCCUUGCCUAUCUCUUCAUUUUUAUCUAUAAGGACAUUGACGUGAAUUAAUAUAUAUAUAUAUAUAGGUUAUAUAUUGUCAAGGGUUUGUUUUGAUAAUGUUCUUUUUAAGAAAUUGACAUUUUGAUCUUGAUCUCUACAGUUUGUGAUAAACCAUCCGGAGGAGCACUUAGUUUCUGUAGAAGGUCGGUAUAACCCUGAAGGACUUAUUCUAGGGCUAACGUUCAAAUCCAACAAGAAGACUUCUGAUCUCAUUGGAUAUGAAGAUGGUACACCGUUCACUCUCCAAGUUCAAGACAAGAAGAUCGUUGGAUUUUAUGGCUUCGCUGGAAACAAUCUCCAUUCUCUUGGAGCGUACUUUGCUCCGUUGACUAAUGUAACCCCCUUGAAUGCCAAAAAGCUAGAAGCAAAGGGUGGUGACACGGGAGAUAUAUGGGAUGAUGGUGUUUACGAUAAUGUUAGAAAGGUAUAUGUAGGGCAAGCCCAAUAUGGUAUAGCCUUCGUCAAGUUUGAGUAUGUCAAUGGUUCUCAAGUGGUUGUUGGAGAUGAACAUGGAAAGAAGACAGAGCUAGGAGUUGAAGAGGUACAAAAAUAGAUAAUUCUAUGUUGUGAUUCGUCAAAAGGAUAUAUAUAUAUAUAUAUUUAUAUGGGUAACCUCACUCAAAAUUAUUUGGUUUCUUUGCAGUUUGAGAUUGAUGCGGAUGACUACAUCGUAUACGUGGAAGGAUACCGUGAGAAAGUUAAUGGUAUGACCUCAGAGAUGAUCACUUUUCUUUCAUUCAAGACUUAUAAAGGCAAAACCUCUCAGCCUAUCGAACAAAGACCUGGUAUUAAGUUUGUGCUACAAGGUGGAAAAAUUGUUGGGUUUCACGGACGUUCGACCGACGUUCUAGACUCCCUCGGGGCUUAUAUUUCAUUGUCGCCCACUCCAAACUUGCAUGGAAAGUGGACAAAGGUAGUAAUCUUUUAUAUAUCACCAUGGGAGCUAGUUCACUAAGCAGACUCUAUAUUAUAAAAAAUCCUAACUAACAAGUAUUAUUAAUUAAUUAUAAGGUGGAUGAAAAUGGAGAUGGUCCAGGGCUAAGAUGCUCGCAUGACAUAGCACAGGUAGGAAACAAGAUUUACUCUUUUGGUGGUGAGUUCACACCAAAUCAGCCCAUCGACAAACACCUUUACGUCUUUGACAUCGAGAGCCGGACUUGGUCCAUUUCUCCAGCCACGGGAGACAUUCCAACCCUCUCUUGCCUAGGUGUCUGUAUGGUGUCAAUAGGAUCGACCCUCUAUGUCUUUGGAGGCCGAGACGCUUCACGUCAAUACAACGGUUUCUACUCGUUUGACACGACCACAAACGAGUGGAAACUGCUAACUCCGGUCGAAGAAGGACCCACUCCUCGUAGUUUCCACUCAAUGGCAG
rnacentral:lncRNA from 1 species